UCUAACCCUUGCAAAAGAAGACGACUCCCUCCUAAGGAGUUGUCCUCCCCUCACUCUUCAGCUCCCCUUCUAGCGAUCAUUCCUUGGCCGCUCCUCCCAAGAAUCCCCCCUCCCUUAAAGCCCCUUCCUACUUCCCAUUUCCCCUCCAUAUUUUUUCCUCUGCGCCUUCUCUCGAGUCAUUCUUUUUUUUAAUAUUAUUCCGUGUGUUCUCCUGUUCCUUCCCGCAGCACGCAACUCGUGUGCUCGCUGUGUCGUCUCUUUCCCAGUGUCGCACACCGCCGUUCCAAUCACCAGCAUCCAACCCAGAGAAUCAAGAGGAAAGUUUCGCAUUUCUUUAAUCUACGAGGAAGCAAAUGUCACCAGGCUUUAUCAUAUAAAAAAACAACCCGUCAUACGAUCCAGGUCGAAUGGCUGCCGUCUGCAGAAGUCGUGUGUAUUAUCAAUGUUUGACGAAUAGACACCCAGAAAACAAAUUACCGGUUUAAAGAAUAGAACGAAACAUGAAAUCAAUUCGAGUCUUUUAAUUUAUAAAGUGAUCCGUACACGAGUGAAGUAACUGUGAUAAUUGCGAAAUCAUCACACUGCGAUGUUGGCCAAAAGAAGACUACAUCCCAGCUGGUGAUUAAUGAAGAAACGGGUCCAGCACAAGAGAUUCAUCACACCCCGUUAUUCCUGGUUUCCUUGGCAACGACGCAACCCAAGGUGACCAACAUUCAAAGAUGCAGCAGGUGCACUUUACAUGGUAAGUGAAGUAAAACAUAAAAAUGAUUUCUAACUAUAAGAACUAUGCAAACAUCAUAAAUAAUAAAAGCAAUAUAAACCCAAGAAGACAAGAUAAGAAGACUCAUCAGCGCAGAGCUCGGCUCUUCUCUGUGCAGUGUUACCAAUAUUAAGAAUGCUAUCGACGAGAAUGGUAACUUGCCAGCAGCGAGGUAUAGAGUUCCUACGUAAUAGUUGCAAUAGUAGGAACUUCAUACCGUGCUCUUGGACUUGCCAUAGACGACACAGCUUCAGCUAUCAAACAAAGAAACUAACAAACGUUCACAAAAACUAAGAUUUUCAUCAGCUUGGAAUGAAUGAAUGAAAGAAAGAAGAUUCAUCCCGAGAUACGUACAGCUUUAGUGUCAGUAAACACAACUGACAAAGCACCGCUGCAGUUCUGACGUCGUGUAAGACCGAGUAAUAAUGCAUCCUACUAUUUACCUAGGCCACAGAAUAUAACGCUCCAUACUGUGAUAAUCUGACCAGCAGAGGUCAGCGAUGCAAAGAGCACAUGAUUCAGAAGAUAUGAAUCAAUUACUACGAGAGUGUGUUUUGAUACUGUCUCUGUACAUAAGAAGUCUCCCCUCUAUUUUAUCUCUUACUGUUAUUUGUCAUUGUUAUGUGUGAAGAACACCUUUUGGGCGCAAGAAUUAUAACAGGUCAAUGUUGAAACCGCUGUGCAGCAAUGGAAGCUGAGGUCAUUGUUACAGCGCAACACCGACCACAUUAGUACAAUGACGUAAGUGGUAUGACGUGAAAUGUACAUAAAACAUUAUACUUUUCCAAUCUUGUUAUUCCCCUAUUCAUUUGAGACACAAGAAAGCAAGAUUUGUUUUUCGUUUAGAACUCAAAAUGAAAUAAUCCUGGCUGAAUUUCUCAUCUGCCCGCAAAUACAGUUGCAAUAAGCAUGGCAGUAUUUUAAUGCUGAGACACUUGUUGAUAUUUUAUCUUAAUUUCCUGGCAUCCCAAUAUAUAUCCGAAUAAUAAGAUAAUCCUUGCUCAUUACAGUACUUUAUUUUCUGCAGUGGACGAACUCUAGA